UUGACCUCAAAUCAGGUAGGACUACCCGCUGAACUUAAGCAUAUCAAA
rnacentral:rRNA from 4 species